GGGACGUCGCGGCGUGCAAUGAACUGGAAGUUGAUCUGCCAGCACUAUCCUUAUCUUCAGGGCAAAAGAGGGAUUUUCCUUAAAAGGCAUAGUUACAACUGUAACAUCAGGUUUAUAAUAGAGAACUUCCUACUUCUCUUGGGAAAGGACCACAGUGUUCACCGAAAUGGCCGAAAAGUGAUCAAGGAAAAACUCGUUAAGAACACAUCCCUUUCAGCGGUUUUCCGUGAAUGCAAAUGGCAAAUGUAAAAAAAGUGCUUUUGUCUGAGAAAUGCAGAAGGAGUUAGUUGCAUCAUGCAAUAAGAAAGCUGCUGUACCUUUCCGUCAUUAUGCUGCUUUGUUUACUUUUUAUUUAAUCAAGGAAGCUUGUGUUAAGUUUCAGAAUAAAUAUUUAAAAAGACAA